UCCGAGUUGACCCCGGCAGUCUCCCAUGAGUCCCCGGCAUAACCCGCUGGCAACAUGGAACGAGGGUUGCGCUCGUUGCGGGACUUAACCCAAUAUCUCACGACACGAGCUGACGACAGCCAUGCACCACCUGCACACCAGCCACAAGGGAACGCCUAUCUCUAGACGCGUCUGGUGCAUGUCAAACCCAGGUAAGGUGGGGAUGACGUGAGCCUAUCGAGA
rnacentral:misc_RNA from 1 species